AUUUAAAUAGUUUAAUUUUAAAACAUUGAUUUGUGGAAUCAAAAAUAUAAUGAUUUAUUUUAAAUA
rnacentral:tRNA from 1 species